AAACCAUGAUGUGGACAAUCUCUCUGAUAUGCCUUGAAUCUCACCUAAUCAGCUUUGAAUGCAUCAGUUGGUCCCUGAGAGAACGUAGAGAUUUAUAGUAUCAGUUC
rfam:Eutrema salsugineum unplaced genomic scaffold scaffold_11, whole genome shotgun sequence.